rnacentral:rRNA from 1 species
GCCAAGCAGCCGCGGUAAUUCCAGCUCCAAUAGCGUAUAUUAAAGUUGUUGUGGUUAAAAAGCUCGUAGUUGGAUCUCGGCGGACUGAGGGCGGUUUGCUUGCUAGUAUUACUGCCCUAUAGUCCGUAGUUUUGCCAGAGGUUUCGGGGUGCUCUUAAUCGAGUGUCCCGGGAUGCUGGCAGGUUUACUUUGAAAAAAUUAGAGUGCUCAAAGCAGGCUAUUACGCCUGAAUAUUCGUGCAUGGAAUAAUAGAAUAGGAAGUCGUUUCUAUUUUGUUGGUUUUCGGAAAUCGACUUAAUGAUUAAUAGGGACAGUCGGGGGCAUUUGUAUUCAAACGACAGAGGUGAAAUUCUUGGACCGUUUGAAGACAAACUACUGCGAAAGCAUUUGCCAAGAAUGUUUUCAUUAAUCAAGAACGAAAGUUAAAGGUUCGAAGGCGAUUAGAUACCGCCCUAGUUUUAACCAUAAACGAUGCCAGCUAGCGAUCUGCGGACGUUUUUUUUGUAGACUCCGCAGGAAGCUUCCGGGAAACCAAAGCAUUUGGGUUCCAGGGGAAGUAUGGUUGCAAAGCUGAAACUUAAAGGAAUUGACGGAAGGGCACCACCAGGAGUGGAGCCUGUGGCUUAAUUUGACUCAACACGGGAAAUCUCACCAGGCCCGGACACUGGAAGGAUUGACAGAUUGAUAGCUCUUUCUUGAUUCGGUGGGUGGUGGUGCAUGGGCCGUUCUUAGUUGGUGGAGUGAUUUGUCUGGUUAAUUCCGAUAACGAACGAGACUCUGUCCUGCUAAAUAGUGUCUGCUUCUCUUUUGAGCAGACAAUUCUUCUUAGAGGGACUGGCGACUCUUAGUCGCACGAGAUUGAGCAAUAACAGGUCUGUGAUGC